rnacentral:rRNA from 1 species
CUGCCCUUUGUACACACCGCCCGUCGCUACUACCGAUUGAAUGGCUUAGUGAGGUCUUCGGAUCGGCUUUGGGGAGCCGGCAACGGCACCUCAUUGCUGAGAAGUUGAUCAAACUUGGUCAUUUAGAGGAAGUAAAAGUCGUAACAAGGUUUCCGUAGGUGAACCUGCGGAAGGAUCAUUAACGAAUCAAACAAGUUCAUCUUGUUCUGAUCCUGUGCACCUUAUGUAGUCCCAAAGCCUUCACGGGCGGCGGUUGACUACGUCUACCUCACACCUUAAAGUAUGUUAACGAAUGUAAUCAUGGUCUUGACAGACCCUAAAAAGUUAAUACAACUUUCGACAACGGAUCUCUUGGCUCUCGCAUCGAUGAAGAACGCAGCGAAAUGCGAUAAGUAAUGUGAAUUGCAGAAUUCAGUGAAUCAUCGAAUCUUUGAACGCACCUUGCGCCCUUUGGUAUUCCGAGGGGCAUGCCUGUUUGAGUGUCAUUAAAUACCAUCAACCCUCUUUUGACUUCGGUCUCGAGAGUGGCUUGGAAGUGGAGGUCUGCUGGAGCCUAACGGAGCCAGCUCCUCUUAAAUGUAUUAGCGGAUUUCCCUUGCGGGAUCGCGUCUCCGAUGUGAUAAUUUCUACGUCGUUGACCAUCUCGGGGCUGACCUAGUCAGUUUCAAUAGGAGUCUGCUUCUAACCGUCUCUUGACCGAGACUAGCGACUUGUGCGCUAACUUUUGACUUGACCUCAAAUCAGGUAGGACUACCCGCUGAACUUAAGCAUAUCAAUAAGCGGAGGAAAAGAAACUAACAAGGAUUCCCCUAGUAACUGCGAGUGAAGCGGGAAAAGCUCAAAUUUAAAAUCUGGCGGUCUCCGGCCGUCCGAGUUGUAAUUUAGAGAAGCGUUAUCCGUGCUGGACCGUGUAUAAGUCUCCUGGAAUGGAGCGUCAUAGAGGGUGAGAAUCCCGUCUUUGACACGGACUACCAGUGCAUUGUGAUGCGCUCUCGACGAGUCGAGUUGUUGGG